rnacentral:rRNA from 1 species
GUGGGGAAUAUUGCACAAUGGGCGAAAGCCUGAUGCAGCGACGCCGCGUGAGGGAUGACGGCCUUCGGGUUGUAAACCUCUUUCAGUAGGGAAGAAGCGAAAGUGACGGUACCUGCAGAAGAAGCACCGGCUAACUACGUGCCAGCAGCCGCGGUAAUACGUAGGGUGCGAGCGUUAUCCGGAAUUAUUGGGCGUAAAGAGCUCGUAGGCGGUUUGUCGCGUCUGUCGUGAAAGUCCGGGGCUUAACCCCGGAUCUGCGGGGGGUACGGGCAGACUAGAGUGCAGUAGGGGAGACUGGAAUUCCUGGUGUAGCGGUGGAAUGCGCAGAUAUCAGGAGGAACACCGAUGGCGAAGGCAGGUCUCUGGGCUGUAACUGACGCUGAGGAGCGAAAGCAUGGGGAGCGAACAGG